rnacentral:rRNA from 1 species
GGGUCAGUAGGUUGGUCGUGCCACCGGUACGUACUGGUCUCACUGAUUCCUCCUUCCUGAAGAACCGUAAUGCCAUUAAUUUGGUGUUGCGGGGAAACAGGACUGUUACUUUGAAAAAAUUAGAGUGUUUAAAGCAAGCUAACGCUUGAAUACAUUAGCAUGGAAUAAUGGAAUAGGACGAUCGAUCCUAUUUUGUUAGCUUCUAGGAUUGACGUA